rnacentral:rRNA from 1 species
GGAAUCUUCCACAAUGGACGAAAGUCUGAUGGAGCAACGCCGCGUGAGUGAAGAAGGUUUUCGGAUCGUAAAACUCUGUUGUUGGAGAAGAACACGUUUGAGAGUAACUGUUCAGACGUUGACGGUAUCCAACCAGAAAGCCACGGCUAACUACGUGCCAGCAGCCGCGGUAAUACGGAGGAUGCAAGCGUUAUCCGGAUUUAUUGGGUUUAAAGGGUGCGCAGGCGGCGCGUUAAGUCAGUGGUGAAAUGUCCCGGCUCAACCGGGGAACUGCCGCUGAUACUGACGUGCUCGAGUACGGACGGCGCCGGCGGAAUGUGUCAUGUAGCGGUGAAAUGCUUAGAUAUGCCACAGAACACCGAUCGCGAAGGCAGCUGGCGAGGCCGGUACUGACGCUCAGGCACGAAAGCGUGGGGAUCAAACA